rnacentral:rRNA from 1 species
UGGGGAAUCUUGCGCAAUGGGCGAAAGCCUGACGCAGCAACGCCGCGUGAGGGAAGAAGGCCUUCGGGUUGUAAACCUCUUUCAGGAGGGACGAAGCUUCCGGGGUUAAUAGCCUACGGGGUGACGGUACCUCCAGAAGAAGCCCCGGCUAACUACGUGCCAGCAGCCGCGGUAAUACGUAGGGGGCAAGCGUUGUCCGGAAUCAUUGGGCGUAAAGCGCGUGUAGGCGGCUUGGUAAGUCUGGCGUGAAAUCUUGGGGCUCAACCCCAAGCCUGCGCUGGAUACUGCCUCGCUCGAGUCCGGGAGAGGAAAGCGGAAUUCCCAGUGUAGCGGUGAAAUGCGCAGAUAUUGGGAAGAACACCGAUGGCGAAGGCAGCUUUCUGGAACGGUACUGACGCUGAGACGCGAAAGCGUGGGGAGCAAACA